rnacentral:lncRNA from 1 species
GAGCAUCUUCUUUCUGCCCCUGCAGGAGGAGGGUUAGAGGGAGUGUUUAAGAGCCUGGAUUUAAACCCCUGGCCCUGCUACUUCCUGGCUGGGUGGCCUUGGGCAAGUUACUUAACCUCUCUGCACCUCAGCUUCUUUAGAAACAUAGGGCUUUCAUAUCCACCUCACAAGGAUAAAAGGAAACUGCACAUAAAGCACUUCGCACGCAGCUGUCACACUGUGUGUGCACACGACAGCUGGCAAUGACUGUUGUUUUCAUUAUACCUUCUGCCCUGAAGAGUGCGGUUUCCCGCGAGCUCCCGGUUCUGAUCAUGCUGCUGCCCAUCUUGGAGGUGCCAGCAGGCUCGCUGCCAGUGGACUCCUCUCCUGCCAUGCAGGGCCCUUUGCUGCCACCUGGCCCCAACCAGGCCACCCACCUGAGGCUCUCCCAAAAGGCAGACAUGGAAAAGAAAAUACCCCUGGAAUAUGCUCUGGGCUUUCCUGUUCCCUGCCCAGCGGCAGGCUGUUCCUGCUCUGAAAUGCCUUUCUGCCCUUGCACUCUCCCUUGUUAACACCCUCUGUCCGGGCGUGUUUCUGGAGCCACACUCUCCAGGAAGCUGUCUUGGGUUUCCCCUCUUUUGUAGCACUUCGUCUGUCCCUCCAUGGCUCCUCUCAGUUGGGUUGAGAGGCCCUCCAGGGCAGAGACUGGGUCUUCCUGAACCUGUGCAUGGUGCAAGCAGGGGCUCCUGCGCUGCUGACCCUGCCUGGGCUGGGACAGGGAUGGCCGGACACUGGCAGCGGUCACAGCAGGGUGUGGAGGGAGGCAAGGAGGCACCGGGACAGCUGAAGGACUAAGGCAGUUGCUUCCACUUGCUGGUGCUUGGCCAGCUCGGUGCCCCAGGGCUGAGACCCUGGUUGGGUGAACAGCGUUGAGCGAGAGAGCUUGUGUCUAGGUUUGUGUCCCCAUUUGUUCCUUGAAACGAGCAAUGACUUACGUGGUCAGGGUGCUGUUGGUGAACGUUGCCAGUUUUGUGACCAUCCCCCGGCAGGAGGACUGACCCUGAGGGCUAAGCUUCCUCUGAGGGAACACUGCUUCUGGUCAAUCU